rnacentral:rRNA from 2 species
UCCUGACUGACCGAUAGUGAACCAGUACCGUGAGGGAAAGGCGAAAAGAACCCCGGCGAGGGGAGUGAAAAAGAACCUGAAACCGUGUACGUACAAGCAGUGGGAGCACGCUUAGGCGUGUGACUGCGUACCUUUUGUAUAAUGGGUCAGCGACUUAUAUUCUGUAGCAAGGUUAACCGAAUAGGGGAGCCGAAGGGAAACCGAGUCUUAACUGGGCGUUAAGUUGCAGGGUAUAGACCCGAAACCCGGUGAUCUAGCCAUGGGCAGGUUGAAGGUUGGGUAACACUAACUGGAGGACCGAACCGACUAAUGUUGAAAAAUUAGCGGAUGACUUGUGGCUGGGGGUGAAAGGCCAAUCAAACCGGGAGAUAGCUGGUUCUCCCCGAAAGCUAUUUAGGUAGCGCCUCGUGAAUUCAUCUCCGGGGGUAGAGCACUGUUUCGGCAAGGGGGUCAUCCCGACUUACCAACCCGAUGCAAACUGCGAAUACCGGAGAAUGUUAUCACGGGAGACACACGGCGGGUGCUAACGUCCGUCGUGAAGAGGGAAACAACCCAGACCGCCAGCUAAGGUCCCAAAGUCAUGGUUAAGUGGGAAACGAUGUGGGAAGGCCCAGACAGCCAGGAUGUUGGCUUAGAAGCAGCCAUCAUUUAAAGAAAGCGUAAUAGCUCACUGGUCGAGUCGGCCUGCGCGGAAGAUGUAACGGGGCUAAACCAUGCACCGAAGCUGCGGCAGCGACGCUUAUGCGUUGUUGGGUAGGGGAGCGUUCUGUAAGCCUGCGAAGGUGUGCUGUGAGGCAUGCUGGAGGUAUCAGAAGUGCGAAUGCUGACAUAAGUAACGAUAAAGCGGGUGAAAAGCCCGCUCGCCGGAAGACCAAGGGUUCCUGUCCAACGUUAAUCGGGGCAGGGUGAGUCGACCCCUAAGGCGAGGCCGAAAGGCGUAGUCGAUGGGAAACAGGUUAAUAUUCCUGUACUUGGUGUUACUGCGAAGGGGGGACGGAGAAGGCUAUGUUGGCCGGGCGACGGUUGUCCCGGUUUAAGCGUGUAGGCUGGUUUUCCAGGCAAAUCCGGAAAAUCAAGGCUGAGGCGUGAUGACGAGGCACUACGGUGCUGAAGCAACAAAUGCCCUGCUUCCAGGAAAAGCCUCUAAGCAUCAGGUAACAUCAAAUCGUACCCCAAACCGACACAGGUGGUCAGGUAGAGAAUACCAAGGCGCUUGAGAGAACUCGGGUGAAGGAACUAGGCAAAAUGGUGCCGUAACUUCGGGAGAAGGCACGCUGAUAUGUAGGUGAAGUCCCUUGCGGAUGGAGCUGAAAUCAGUCGAAGAUACCAGCUGGCUGCAACUGUUUAUUAAAAACACAGCACUGUGCAAACACGAAAGUGGACGUAUACGGUGUGACGCCUGCCCGGUGCCGGAAGGUUAAUUGAUGGGGUCAGCGCAAGCGAAGCUCUUGAUCGAAGCCCCGGUAAACGGCGGCCGUAACUAUAACGGUCCUAAGGUAGCGAAAUUCCUUGUCGGGUAAGUUCCGACCUGCACGAAUGGCGUAAUGAUGGCCAGGCUGUCUCCACCCGAGACUCAGUGAAAUUGAACUCGCUGUGAAGAUGCAGUGUACCCGCGGCAAGACGGAAAGACCCCGUGAACCUUUACUAUAGCUUGACACUGAACAUUGAGCCUUGAUGUGUAGGAUAGGUGGGAGGCUUUGAAGUGUGGACGCCAGUCUGCAUGGAGCCGGCCUUGAAAUACCACCCUUUAAUGUUUGAUGUUCUAACGUGGACCCGUGAUCCGGGUUGCGGACAGUGUCUGGUGGGUAGUUUGACUGGGGCGGUCUCCUCCUAAAGAGUAACGGAGGAGCACGAAGGUUGGCUAAUCCUGGUCGGACAUCAGGAGGUUAGUGCAAUGGCAUAAGCCAGCUUGACUGCGAGCGUGACGGCGCGAGCAGGUGCGAAAGCAGGUCAUAGUGAUCCGGUGGUUCUGAAUGGAAGGGCCAUCGCUCAACGGAUAAAAGGUACUCCGGGGAUAACAGGCUGAUACCGCCCAAGAGUUCAUAUCGACGGCGGUGUUUGGCACCUCGAUGUCGGCUCAUCACAUCCUGGGGCUGAAGUAGGUCCCAAGGGUAUGGCUGUUCGCCAUUUAAAGUGGUACGCGAGCUGGGUUUAGAACGUCGUGAGACAGUUC